AGUGAACGCUGGCGGCGUGCCUAAUACAUGCAAGUCGAACGGAGUGGCGCACGGGUGAGUAAUAUAUAGCUAAUCUGCCCCUUGCUGGAGGACAACGGUUAGAAAUGACUGCCAAUACUCCAUAGCAAGGGAUGAGACUAUAACGUAUCAGCUAGUCGCUGGGGUAACGGCCUACCGAGGCUUUGACGCGUAACUGGUGUGAGAGGAUAAUCAGUCAAAUUGGAACGGAGGCACGGUCCAAAAUCCUACGGGAGGCAGCAGUAGGGAGUAAGGCGCAAGGGGGGAUACCCUGACGCAGCAACGCCGCGUGGAGGAUGACACUUUUCGGAGAUUAAACUCGUUUUGUUAGGGAAGCGGUACCUAACGAGUAAGCACCGGCUAACUCCGUGCCAGCCGCCGCGGUAAUAC
rnacentral:rRNA from 1 species